rnacentral:pre_miRNA from 1 species
GGAAGUUAAAAAACUGUUUCUUAAUUUUUAACUAAAAAAGCUAAGAACCGGUUCUUAAAUAAGGACUUUAAGAACCGGUUCUUAGCCUUUUUAGUUAAAAGUUAAGAAACAGUUUCUUAACUUCC